CCUACGGGUGGCAGCAGUGAGGAAUAUUGGUCAAUGGACGAGAGUCUGAACCAGCCAAGUAGCGUGAAGGAUGACUGCCCUAUGGGUUUUAAACUUCUUUUAUAUGGGAAUAAAAUGUUCCACGUGUGGGAGUUUGUAUGUACCAUAUGAAUAAGGAUCGGCUAACUCCGUUCCAGCAGCCGCGGUAAUACGGAGGAUCCGAGCGUUAUCCGGAUUUAUUGGGUUUAAAGGGAGCGUAGGUGGAUUGUUAAGUCAGUUGUGAAAGUUUAGGGCUCAACCGUAAAAUUGCAGUUGACACUGGCAGGCUUGAGUCCAGUAGAGGUGGGUGGAAUUCGUGGUGUAGCGGUGAAAUGCUUAGAUAUCACGAAGAACUCCGAUUGCGAAGGCAGCUCACUGGACUGCAACUGACAGUGAGGCUCGAAAGUGUGGGUAUCAAACAGGAUUAGAUACCCCUGUAGUC
rnacentral:rRNA from 1 species